rnacentral:rRNA from 1 species
AACGAACGCUGGCGGCAGGCUUAACACAUGCAAGUCGAGCGCCCCGCAAGGGGAGCGGCAGACGGGUGAGUAACGCGUGGGAAUCUACCCAUCUCUACGGAAUAACGCAUGGAAACGUGUGCUAAUACCGUAUACGUCCUUCGGGAGAAAGAUUUAUCGGAGAUGGAUGAGCCCGCGUUGGAUUAGCUAGUUGGUGGGGUAAAGGCCUACCAAGGCGACGAUCCAUAGCUGGUCUGAGAGGAUGAUCAGCCACACUGGGACUGAGACACGGCCCAGACUCCUACGGGAGGCAGCAGUGGGGAAUAUUGGACAAUGGGCGCAAGCUUGAUCCAGCCAUGCCGCGUGAGUGAUGAAGGCCCUAGGGUUGUACAGCUCUUUCACCGGUGAAGAUAAUGACGGUAACCGGAGAAGAAGCCCCGGCUAACUUCGUGCCAGCCGCCGCGGUAAUAC